rnacentral:misc_RNA from 1 species
GCUUACCCCUCGUAGGGAAUCCCACGGUUUCGGUGUCCCCAUCUGCGUUGCGCCCUUUUGGGUGCGGGGUGGACGUGAGGCGGGCUCCGUGUUCCAAGCAUGCCUCGCGGUUUGUCGUGCGGCUGUUUUGGGUCAUGGGGUCUUUGCCCGUUCUCUUGGAUGCGGAAUGUUGUGCGUGGGCGUGAGGCCUCGGCCUCGUUUUGUCCAAGCUAAGCAUUCGUCCCUCGAUGCAAACGACUGCCACGCUCGUCUUGACCUCCUGCAGCGUCCUCCCAUGCGGGGCACCUGUGGUGUGGCUCAUGCGGGUGUUGGCGUCGCGAAGGAAUGCUACCUGGUUGAUCCUGCCAGU